UCUCCGUUGGUGAACCAGCGGAGGGAUCAUUACUGAGUAUAUCCUACUACUCUCAACCCUUUGCGAACGUACCUGUUCUGUUGCUUCGGCAGGCCGUCCCCUGGGAGGGGCAGCCAGCGCCCGCCGGAGGCCCCAAACUCUUAUGUCUUUAGUGGUUUUCUCCUCUGAGUGACACAUAAACAAAUAAAUAAAAACUUUCAACAACGGAUCUCUUGGUUCUG
rnacentral:misc_RNA from 1 species